ensembl:misc_RNA
AGAGGGUACAGAAUGGAUCUCGGAGGAGGGGGUCGCUGCUGGGCCUCCGAGAGAACCCUCUGUAGAUAUCUACGGCCAUCCGUUUCCUGAUCU